rnacentral:rRNA from 1 species
UAACGGUCCUAAGGUAGCGAAAUUCCUUGUCGGGUAAGUUCCGACCUGCACGAAAGGUGUAAUGAUUUGGGCACUGUCUCAACGAGAGACUCGGUGAAAUUAUAAUACCCGUGAAGAUGCGGGUUACCCGCGACAGGACGGAAAGACCCCAUGGAGCUUUACUGUAGCUUGAUAUUGAGUAUUUGUUAAACAUGUACAGGAUAGGUAGGAGCCAGAGAAAGUAGGACGCUAGUCUUACUGGAGGCAAUGUUGGGAUACUACCCUUGUUUGAUGGAUCCUCUAACUCGCAGAGCUGAGCGUUCUGGAGGACAGUGUCAGGUGGGCAGUUUGACUGGGGCGGUCGCCUCCUAAAAUGUAACGGAGGCGCCCAAAGGUUCCCUCAGAAUGGUUGGAAAUCAUUCGCAGAGUGUAAAGGUAUAAGGGAGCUUGACUGCGAGAGCUACAACUCGAGCAGGGACGAAAGUCGGGCUUAGUGAUCCGGUGGUUCCGCAUGGAAGGGCCAUCGCUCAACGGAUAAAAGCUACCCUGGGGAUAACAGGCUUAUCUCCCCCAAGAGUCCACAUCGACGGGGAGGUUUGGCACCUCGAUGUCGGCUCGUCGCAUCCUGGGGCUGUAGUCGGUCCCAAGGGUUGGGCUGUUCGCCCAUUAAAGCGGCACGCGAGCUGGGUUCAGAACGUCGUGAGACAGUUCGGUCCCUAUCCGUCGUGGGCGUAGGAAAUUUGAGAGGAGCUGUCCUUAGUACGAGAGGACCGGGAUGGACAUACCGCUGGUGUACCAGUUGUCUUGCCAAAGGCAUCGCUGGGUAGCUAUGUAUGGAAGGGAUAAGCGCUGAAAGCAUCUAAGUGCGAAGCCCCCCUCAAGAUGAGAUUUCCGAUGCGCAAGCAGUAAGACACCUUAAAGACGAUGAGGUAGAUAGGCUAGGAGUGGAAGCAUAGCGAUAUGUGGAGCGGACUAGUACUAAUCAGUCGAGCACUUGACCAA